rnacentral:lncRNA from 1 species
GUCAACAAGCUUGACAGAGUGUAUACAUUGAACAUUGCGUCCACCAAUAGAAAAACAAACAUUCUUUUUAAGCAGACAUGGAAUAUUGAUGGAAACUGACCAUAUGCUAGGCCUAAAUUCAUACUUAUUGUGAUAGCUUUGUAAUGUGUCAGUUUGGCUAGGCUGAACUACCCAUCUCAGACUUCCCUUUCUUCUGUGUUUCCAGUUAGCAUGAGCCACGUGUCAUGCUAUUCUGGAAGGCAGGAAGAAAGCAAAAGCCAUUUUGUAGCUCACACACUUCGUUGCUGAUCUGCAAACUCACCUUGGAAUAAAGCAGAGCUGGGCCUCAAUUAUUCCCCUUUUCUCCUGGAUCUUCCUUCAGUGUCACUGACUCCUGGACCAGGCAAAGGAUCUAAAUAGAAAACAUUAAAGAAGUCUCACUCCGAUGAAUGAGGCCGAGCCUGCAGCUCAAGGAAACCCUGGAGACUGCAUAGGGUGUUGGAAGAAAGAAUCUCAGAAGAAAGAAAUCUUCCCAUGAAGAGAGAACAUCAAUUUCCAAGCCAGCAAGGGCGAGCUGGGGCCUCAGGAAGGAGGGGUGGGGUGGAGAGUGAACAGAUCCACACACUGGUAAGGUAGAUGAAUAAGAGAGAAACACCUAAAGCUUGCCCGAAAGCAAAGUCCUUGACCAGGUUUUUGUUCUGUGGAGGUCCCUUAAAACAACCCUGACUGGAGUUUUCUUUAACUGGCCCUGAGGGGAGAAAAAUGCCAGGACUCACCAAUGGAUGUUUCUCAAAUGCAAAGAAUCCUUCCAGUGGUCGUCUAUGUGUAGUGACGUGGGCAGCCCUGAUAUGAUCUGAGGGGUGCAGCGCAGUGGUUCCUCCCACACAGAUUCUGGCUCUGGCCCCAUCCUGGUUUUUGAACACCUAUCUACAUAACCUGCUAUGGAGUAAAGGUAUUGUUUGCCCAACACGCCUGUUGAAAGGCAAGUGUCCCUGGUAGGGUAAUCCAUUAGCAUUGGCAGGUCCUUCAGCAUAGAUGUGUGUCUCAGAUUAGAGGACUAGAAAGGCCUGGAAGUUGGGGAGAGUUAGUCUGAUAUGGAACAUUAGAGAGGAAUAGAGAAGGAGGGGAAGGAGAGAGGAGGGCAAAAGGGAGAGCAUUUUGACCAGCAUUUGGCCUUGAGACAGAAGGGGCUGAGUGAGGAUGAGAGCAGAAAUUUAAAUGGGAAGGUGUGGGGGCCCCUAAGGGGUUACUGUUUCUUCCACAAGCUACCAGGGCCAGACUCAUUCUUUCCUAAGGGCUCUCAUUCUUCCUCAAGCCCACUGGUGAAUUCACCUUUGAGUAUAGGCCAAAAGAGGAGACAACUCACUUCCUUUUAAUUAUUGAAACAAUAAUGUAAUAGCACCAUCAUUAAGCACUGGUUCUUAACUUGGGAGGGAGGUGAUCAUCGAACUCCUCUGAGAAUCUGAUGAAAGCUGUGCUCGUACUUCUCAAAAAAAUAAACAUAUGCACAGCCACACAAAAUAUGGUAUGUUUUCACUUGUUUUAUGGACACUGUGGGGGCCCAUCUCUGGGUCCCAUGAGAGGCCAUUGUCUCCUAGCUAAAAUGCUUUGAUUUAUUCUUUAAUAAUCCUAACACAGAGGUUUCAUUUUUGUGCAUUUAUUCUAAGCCCUCUUCCUUAUGCAUGCAUAAUUGUUACAGUGCAAUCAUAAUCUACAUACAAUUUAUGUGUUCUACUUUAUAAAAUCUAACAUUAUCUGGUAAACAUUUUUCUAUGUUGUUAUAUAUUCUUCACAAUUAUAAAUUUGAAUGAAUAUAUAAAAUUGUAUUGAAUUGUUGCAGUAUAAUUUUCUUAACUGUUCCUUAAUGACUAGGUGUUUAAAUGGCUUCUAAUUUUGUAGUAUAGAUAAUGCUACACUGAAUAUCCUUAUCCAUUUAUCUUGCUUCUGUUGAAUGUUUCCUUGAGAAAAAUUCCUACCCUUUACAAAAUCAAAGUGUAAGAAUAUUUUUAUGGGUCUUAAAAGAUGAUGUGAUAUUGCUUUCCAAAGAAGUUAUAAUUUUGGGUACCGCCAAUAGUAUACAAGUGUCCCAAUUUCCCCAAAUCUUUACCUAUAAUGGGUACUAUUAUUGAAUUUUUUUCUAAUUUAAUAGUUUUCAAAGCAUCAAGAAGAUAGUCUGAUGUUUGGUUGCCAAGGGGUGAAGUGGAGAAUGAGAAGAGUGUACUGGGAGGAUGGGGAAGUCUGGUCUAUAAUGGGAAUGGAUAAAGCUUCUAAGCUUUUCAGUAACAACUGGAACCAAGCAGGCUAUAUGAGUUAAGGAGCAGCACUCACGGACUUAGUAAACAGUACAUUCCCACUUUCUGUCCAAUCCCUUUUCAAGCUUCCACUUCUAAAUUUUAUCAGUCAAAAUGGAAACUGGGAGCUAGGGUUUGAUCAGGACCAACAGGGUUACUGUGGGUCACUUUGUAAGGCUACUGUGAUAUGGUAACAGUAUGGUUUAUCCUCAGGAUGUCAUUGUCUCUAAAAAAUUGCCUUGUGCUCCAUAGCAGCACUAUCCAAUAGAAACAUAAUGCAAGCCACAUAUACGUAGUUUUCAGUUUUCCAGUAGCCACACUAAAGAAAAAAAGUAAAAAGAAACAAAUGAUCCUCCUGACCUCAAAAUAUAUUACAAAGCUACAGUUGUUAAAACAUGGUACUAGCAUAAAGACAGACAUACACACCAAUGGAACAGAAUAGAAAGCUCAGAAAUAAACUCACAGGUAUACAUUCAACUGAGCUUUGACAAGGGUGUCAAGAAUAUAUAAGAGGGAAUGGACAGUAUCUUCAACAAAUGUUGUUGGGAAAACAGGAUAUCCACAUACAAAAUAAUGAAAUUAAAUCUUUAUCUUACUGUAUGCAUAAAAAUUAAUUCAAAAUUGAUUAAAGACUCAAACGUAAGACCUGAAACCAUAAAACUCCUAGAGAGAGGAAAAGCUUUAGUACACUGGGCUUGCUAAUAAUUUCUUAGAUAUGAUACCAAAGUACAAACAACAAAAGCAAAAUUGUACAAUGUGACUACAUGAAACUAAAAAGCUUCUGUACAACAAAGGAAACAAUUAACAGAAUGAAAAGGCAGCCUACAGAAAGGGAGAAAGUAUUUUCUAUAUAUAUAUUGAUAAGGGAUUAACAUCCAAAAUAAAUAAGUUCCUACGACUUAGUAGCAAAAAACCAAAUAAUCUGAUUUAAAAACAGGCAAACAGGCAAAGGACUUGAAUAGAAAUUUCUCCAAAGAAGACUUACAAAUGGCCAACAGGUGUAUGAAAAGAUGCUCAACAUCACUAAUCAUCAGGGAAAUGUGAAUCAAAGCCACAGUGAGAUAUCACCUCACACCCAUUGAUAUGGUUAUUGUCAAAAACAAAACAAGGCUGGGAGUAGUGGCUCACAUGUGUAAUGCCAGUACUGUGAGAGGCCAAGGCAGGAGGAUCACUUGAGGCCAGAAGCUCAAGACCAGCCUGAGCGAAACAGUAAGACCCCGUCUCUUCAAAAAAUUAAAAAAUUAGCUGGGCAUGGUGGUGUGCCCGUAAAAUCUCAGCUACUUGGAAGGCUGAGGUGGGAGGAUCGCUUGAGUCCAGGAGUUCGAGGCUGCAGUGAACUAUGAUCACACCACUACACACCAGCCUGGGUGACAGAGCAAGACCUUGUCUCAAAAAUAAAUAAAUAAAUCAGACAAAAAAGAUUAAAAUGUUGGUGAGACUGUGGAGAAAUUGGAAUUUUUAUAUACUGUUAGUGGGAAUGUAAAACAGUGCAGCCAAUAUAGAAAACAGUAUAAAGUUUCCUCAAAAAAUAAAAAAUAGAACUACCAUAUGUUCCAGCAAUUCCACUACUGGGUAUAUCCCAAAAGAAUUGAAAUUAGAAUCUUGCAGGGAUAUCUGUACUCCCAUGUCCAUUGCAGCAGUAUUAGCAAUAGCCAAGACAUGGAAGCAACCAAAAUGUUCACUGGCAGAUGAAUGGAUAAAAAAAUAUGGUAUAUAUAUACAAUGGAAUAUUAUUCAGCCUUUAAAAAGAAGAAAAUCCUGUCACUUGAGACAACAUGGAUGAACCCGGAGGACAUUAUGCUAAGUGAAAUGAGCCAGUCACAGAAGACAAAUACUGCAUGAUUCCACUUCUAUGAGGUACCUAAAAUAGUCAGACUCACACAAGCAGAAAAUAGAAGUGACUACCAGGAGCUGAGCUGGGGGGAGUAGGUUGGGACUUGUUCAGUUGAUAUAAAGUUUUGGUUAUGCAGGAGAAAUAACUUCUAGAGAUCUGCUGUACAGCAUAGCACCCAUAGUGAAUGGUACUGUAUUAUGCCCUUAAACAUUUGUUAUGAGGUUAGAUCUCAUGUUAAGCACUCUUGCCAAAAACAAACAACACAAAACAAAGAAAAAGGAAAAAAACAGUGGAGGGAGGACACAGGGAAACUUUUAAAGGUGAUGGAGAUGUCUAUUACCUUGAUUGUGGUGAUAGUUUUAUAGGUGUAUGCAUAUGUCCAAACUCUUCAAAUUAUAUGCAUUAAACGUACAUAGUUUUAAUAUAUCAAUUAUAUCUCAAUAAAACUAUUAAAAAACAAAUCAAAUUAACUUCAGUACUAUAUAUUAUUUAACCUGUCAUAUAUUUAAAAAUAUCAUUUCAGCAUGUAAUCAACAUAAAAAUUAUUAAGUAUUUUCACAGUCCUUUUUUCAUACUAAACCUUUGGAAACUGUUGCAUAUUUUAUACUAACAACACAUCCCAGUUCGAGACACCUAUAUUUCUAGUACUCAGUUGCCACAUGUGGUCAUGGCCACUGUAGUAGACAGUGCAGCUCUGUGGCCUCAGCCCACAGAGAUGAGCCUAGGAUGCUUUGCAUUGCAGAACUGUCUUUCUCUUAACGCUUGAGCUAUUGGGAAAUCAGAGCCAUGUUAUUUAUCAUGAAAGAGCAUUUGAUUAAAAGUAUAAAAUAUCCUAGGUCAGAUGGCUCACUGUAGUUGCAGGGGAGACAGUGAAUUGCUGACCAUGCACUGUGAUACAUCAAAAUAUAGGGACAUUCAGGCACCUCCUCAGCCUACUGAAUCAGGAUCUUUGGGGUGAGUCUAGAAAACAGAUUUUUAAGUACAGGUUUUAAUAUGAUAAUAAGUGGUGCCUGUUAUUAAUGGGAGGACAUUGAAUCCCAGAGAGAAUGAAUGACUCACUCAUGUUCUUCUCAUAGUUAGGGGUCAGCUAGACCUAGAACCUCACUUGGACCCACUAGACACCUUUCCACGCCCUCACCACAAUCACUGCCAACUGCUAUUCCAGCACAAUUCUUGCCAAGAAAAUACCUGCUGUCAUGUGACAGGUAUCAGCACACUUUAGGAGCAGUCAAGACAACUUCCUAAGAAGGUAAACUAUAUUUUCCCAACUUACCAAAUUAGAGUAAGAAGAAUAGAUUUCUUCCUUUAAUCUGGCUUUGUCUCAGACUGGAAGUGCUCUCUUGUCCAGUUAGAAACUAAUCGUGAUAAAAUUAGUAGGCCAGAAGGACACUCAUGGCCCAUCUUUAACAGGAUUUAUAGCCCUGGUUCCUUUUCUUGUUGCCUCUGUGGAAAUGUGCAAGCAUACACAUAGUUAGGAAGGUUUGAAGGAAAUGCCUUAGAGAAGUCUCAGUGACCAAGAAAAGCUAGUCAAAUUGCCAGCUUCGGCCACAGCCAUGUGUUAAAAUGCUCUGCAGACCCAAGUGUGAUCAUGAAACAAGUACAGCAAGAACAGCAGGUCUGUAAACAUCCUGAUGACAAUGGGGAACAAACAGCUGGGCCGAGACCAGAUCGGUUCAGGCAAAUGUGCUCGUGCUUUUGAUCCAAGUGCAAGAUGAGCGGAUGCAGGGGAGGCGGCAGCUGCGGCACAGCUGGACUCAGGAGGCAUGUGAUAGCGUGACUUGCAAAUCAUGCUGGAAAAAUUCAUUCUACUAAGCUUGGACGUGAACACAGUCACGUGGGGCCCAUCAGCUCACACACUGCAGCCAAGAGCGAGACAGAAAUGCAACCGGGCUAAUAAGAGGCGUCAGGCCCACUUCUAGUUGGACACGGCUGUCUUUCAGGGAAGGAAUGGGACAGGAAAUGCACUAUAUUUGGAAAUGACUCUAAAUUUAGAAUGAAAGACUGACUUGAGAAUACUGAAAACUUGAUUGAGAGAUACUUAAAUGUAUUUUAUAAGCAUGGAAGGCAUUUACUGGGGUCUCUACCAUAGUGUUUUUUGCUUGUUUGUUUGUUCGUUGAAGACAAGGUCUCACUGUGUCACCCAGACUGGAGUGCAGUGGCACAAUCACAGCUCACUGCAGCCUCAACCUCCUGGGCUCAAGUGUUCCUCAUGCGUCAGCCUCCAGAGUAGCUGAGGCUACUUGACCACAGGCAAGCACCACAUGCCUGGCUAAUUAAAAAAAUUUUUUUUUGUAGAGAUGGUAUCUCCCUGUGUUGCCCUGGCUGGUCUCAAACUCUUGGGCUAAAGUGAUCCUUCCACUUCAGCCUCCUAAAGUGCUGGGAUUGCAGUUGGGAGCCACAGCUCCUGGCUUCAUAGUGUUUAAUAUGAAAGGCUAUUCUGAUCUUUCCUACUGGUCUAGCACUUUGGGGUUUGCAAAGAGCCUUACAUUCACUUUCACUUCACCAAUGAGUAAAUAAGCCUCAGAAAAACUGAGUAAAUACUAGAGCUCCAGUGGCGCAAUCGGUUAGCGCGCGGUACUUAUACAGAAAAACUGAGUAAAUACUGAAUGUAUGUGUGUGUAGACAUACAAUAUUACAUGAUGUGCUAUUAAUAUAGCAUGUGUAUAUAUACUGUUUUACACAUAUUUAUAUAUAUUAUCAUACUAUAUAUGCAUAUAUGCAUACUAUUAUAAUCAUUCAUUUAACAAAUAUUUAUUGAGCAAUUACUUAGGUACCGGGCACAGUGCAGUAUAUCAACAAGGGUAAGGGAUGCAGACAUUGCAACUCUCAUGGAACUCAGAGCCUAGUUAGGAAGAAAACCAUUGCAUAAACAAUCACAACAUAAAUAUGAUUAGAGUCUGGAGUAAGUGCUACAAAAGAAAAGUCUAAGAGGUCACAAGAGUAUAAGAAGAGGGUCUGCCUUGCCUGGAGCAUCAGAUGCUCCCCUGAGGAAGGAGCCUGUGAGCUGAGCGGUCCGGAUGAGCAGGUGUUUUCUACAGUCUGUGCAUUGUGUCUGCUGAGAAUCUGGAAAUUAAAAAUGCUGCUGUUGGGGGUUUCACCAUGUACGGACGAGGCAGGAGUUCCUCCAAAAAAUACAAAUUCCAUGAGGUUAAAUCAGACCUCUCAGCCCCAAUCAAAAGGUAAGGACUUCGUGGAAGCUAAGGUCAAAGUCCAAUCGAUUUAAUAGACCCUGAGAAUGUAACAUCCUAUGGAAGCUGAAAUCUAAGUGCAGGUUAGUUCUCCCAAUUGCUUUCUGCCCUUUAAGGUUAGAGAAAGAUGACAGCAAGAAGCAUAAAACUCAGUUGUGGCUCUCAGAGCAGUCCUUGUUUUGAGGUUUUCUUUUUUCUGUCUUCUCCUUUCCCCCCUGUCUCCUCUCUGUCUUUGUCCUCCUUCCUCUACCUUCUUUAUUUUUCACUGUUAUAGAUUAGUACCAUCUAUUCUAUUAAUAUUGACUAUAAAUGCAUGUUUUCUUCAUGUUAAAUGCCUAUCAAUUGUCUUCUACCUUCCAAAAGUUAAAAAUGUAUAUAUGAUAUGGCAAAACUUGUGCUAGAUCACAAAAGCAAGCUUUCAUUUUGAUUUACACAGGUAUGUGUGUACACACAAACACACUAAAUACAAAGGGUUGCUGCUAUAGGCUAGCAUAAAUAGCUUCCUGAUUCUUAACACAUCAGGUAAUAUAAAUUCUGGUAAGCUCAGACUGCCUCUAUAUGUUCAUAUCAAUUAGCCUUAAGGGUCUUUUUCUGAAGCACACGGUAAAAUCAACACAGCAUUAGGAGCUAUUUUCUCAAAAACAAAGAGUUUGAAUUCUUGCUGUAGUAGUUCUGAAGUAAAAGAGAGGCUCCUUGCCCCUCGUUGUUCAAAGUCAUCCAUUUCCAACAGGCGAGGGCAUCAACAAUUUGGCAGAGGCAGGUAAAAAAGAGCCAGGGGAACCCAAGUGAAAUUUCAACACAGCGGUUGCCUUGGAACCCAUUUGGAGGUUAACUUGCUCUUGUUUCUCCAGCAUUUCCUUGCUGAAGGAAAUUUGUACUCCAAUUCCAGCCGCGUUCCAACUCCAAUAAAACAGUGAUAAGAUGCCCUGGAGGGUUGCAGCCAAGCCUGUGGGUGCAAACAGGGUCAAAUCACAUCAUGGGAAUGAGAUGGGAUUCUACAUAGUUUGAGUGUUGACUGUUUUCCUCUUGCCAACAGUGGGACGUUUGUUCUCAUUGUUAAAUAAUUAAAUAGGCAGUUUGUAUUUAUUUAACAUACAGACUGUAGCCAAUUCCUGCUGACAGCUACCAAAAUAACCCCAUAUUUCCUAGCUCUGAAUGGCUCAGAAGACUGUUUCCUGACUGCGGGAGCAUCACCGCAGAGCAAAACUCUCCUCCAAGUCUCCGAACACCUUUUUCAUCACUUUAAACAAUAAAUCAAUUCACAGCAUGUGAUCCAAAAACAACAGCCCAGUUUUAUUGGAUGAGGUUCAUUCCCAUUCUCUCAGGCACUCCUUCACUACCAGCACUGAGCUGUCUUGAAGCUGUACUUGGCUGUGGAUGGAAAAAAAAAAUCUACUAGUUUUCCUCAUUUACACUUGCCCAUUAAAAAAAGUGAAUUGUGACCUAAUAACUUAAAAAAGAAAAAAAAAAAGAAGAAUUAUAACUUGGAGGAGAAAGUAGAAAGUUUGGGAGAAGCAGGCCAAUCAGGAAGUCAGGGGAAACAAGUAUUUAAAUGUGGAGGUGGGUAGUCCUUGGAGCUUGGGAAUGAUUCAAGAUAAGGUAGAGACUCUCACUGGUCUCCUAAGGUGGUCAACAUGGCAGAGGGAAGAAACUGAGCAGUCAAAGAUAGCAUCCUCUGUGGAGGGUGGUGCUAAGAGAGAUUCUAGAACCAUUUACACAUGAUCAAUGCUUUGAUCCUGUCAUGUGUAUCAGAAGAGAUGUAGACCAGGCCGGGCAUGGUGGCUCACGCCUGUAAUCCCAGCACUUUGGGAGGCCAAGGUGGGCAGAUCACUUGAGGCCAGGAGUUCGAGACCAGCCUGGCCAACGUGGUGAAACACUGUCUCUACUAAAAAUACAACAACAAUUAGCUGGGCGUGGUGGCACGUACCUGUAAUCCCAGCUACUCGGGAGGCAGAGGUUGCAGUGACUGAGAUUGCACUACUGCACUCCACUCUGGGUGACAGAGAGAGACUCUGUCUCAAAAAAAAAAAAAAAAAAAAAAAAAAAAAAAAAAAAAAAAGGAGAUAUAGACCAGACUCCUCUUGAAAUUUCCUGGUAUUUGUAGUGUCUGAGGCAUUCAGACAGUAGGUGCUAAAGACUUAUCCCUAGGAGUCCGGAGUCCCACUUAAGUGGAAGAAGGAAGCGAUUUUCCCUGUCCUAAGUGGCUAGCUACCAGCCAGCAGCCAGGCGAUGUGUGGGUACUGACAUACCACAGCAUCUUCCUCUCGAUGCUCCCACUAAUGUGGCCACCAAAGGUCCACCCUAGAGGAAACAGCAAUGAAAGGAAACAGGACAAAAGACCCCGUGGCAAGAAAAAAGAUGGCCUAAUUUUUUCUUUCUCACCAUUCCUCUUGUCCUCUUAACCCAUCUCUUUACUGUGCAAUUUGCACUUUGAGUGGCUCUACAGAUGGUGGAUACAGUGAAGACCUCUGUUAUCAAUAUUAAAACUGAGCAUCAGUGAGUCAACAAGGCUCCACUUUGUCCUGUUCAACUUUAGCAGCACCACAGAGAUCAGAACUAAGUAAAGCCAUUUACACAAUUAAGGAGGAGGCUGCCUUUUAGAGUGGCACAAGCAUUUCCUCUGGAGUAGUGUGUCUGAACCAGGAAGUCCCUCUCUGCCUUGUCUGUGGAUUUUAGACAGUCUGAAUUCAGUUUCUUCUUCUGUGAAAUAGAUCAGCCCCACUUGUACUGUCAUAGUAUUGCUCUGAGUAUGGAAAAGGACAAUGGAAAAUGAGGUGCUCUGUAUUCUGUUAUUUGUCAUUAGUUGUGUUCUACUAACCAAACUUUAGGCAUGGUGGAGUUCAUUUCUGCCUCUUCUGGAGAUAGGAAACUAUAGAACUAACUUCAGAUGUAGAUUUUUUUAAAGUUGUCACUCUGUCCCUUUUCUUGUUUGUAAAAGGAGGAAGUGCUUCUGUGUGCCCUCCAAGGCUUCUUCCAACCUUCCAAAAAAAGAAAAAAAAGGCAGACAGUCCAUUCAAGGAUGGCAAUCAUGAAAUCUUGACCUACUUUGGAAUGAGAGGCAACAUCUAAGAAAACCUCAGCUUAAUCUCUAUUAGCUCACCACAGAAGCAUAUAUUCUGGGCUAAGAUCUCUCAGAAGCUGGGCCAUGGCCAUGGCAUGUGCUUAAAGCAUAAUAAAAUGGAUGUGGAAAAAAGAGGAGUGUAUCCCACCUGCUCAUUAUCUGGGGCCAUAUUCCUAGCAGGGUAGUUCAACUAUUCACAGCCAAGAAACAUUUUUGAUCAGAGUCCAAAUCUCCAUCCAGAAACAGGUUCCUGGCAUACCACUCAUGCCCCUGUAAUCAAUUCCCUGGACUGUGAAUCAAGUGACUACUGCCAGAGCAAUGGAGUUGGAUUGUUGACUUUUUGACAGGUCUCUCGCCUCUUUCUGCAUCUUAUGUCUUCCCCGCUCUCCUUCUUGCCCCACCUACUGAAGCCCUCUACCUUCAUCCCUUUUCUCCCUUACCAAUCUCUCCUCCCUCCAUUUUUUCCUUUCUCUGCACCUCAGCUGAUGGCAGAUACUAUUUUUCAUACUUCUAAGCUUGCAUCAGUAUCAACACAGCCAGAUUCACUCACAUUUCCCUCCCCCUCCUCCCUCCCUGUCCCACUCCAAUUCUUUCCAAGGAGAACUUGGGGAUUGUGUCCAAACUGGGACUGAAUACAACCAACGAGGAACCCGAUGAUCCAAGUCCCACCCCCACAGCACACUAUAAUCCAGCACUGUAUAGAGCAGUUCACAGAACCAAAUAUAAAGCCCUUAUUAAGAAUAAACAUGUUGGCUGGGUGUAGUGGCUCAUGCCUAUAAUCCCAACACUUUGGGAGGCUGAGUUGAGUGGAUAACUUGAGUCCAGGAGUUCAAGACCUGCCUGGGCAACAUGGUGAAGCCCUGUCUUUACGAAAAAUCCAAAAAAAAAAAAAGAUUAGCUGGGCAUGGGGCAUGCGCCUGUAGGCCUAGCUACUUGGGAGGCUGAGGUGGGAGGAUAGCUUGAAUCCAGGAGGUUGAGCUGCAGUUAGCCAUGAUUGCAUCACUGCAUUCCAGCCUGGGCAACAGAGCAAGAUCCAGUCUAAAACAAAAAAACAAAAAAAGAAGAAUGAACAUUAUUCCAUAUGGAGACUUAGCCUCUGUCAGUUAGACCCCUUGACAUCCAUAACACAGAACUGGAAACUGGACAAUGGGCAAAGAAAGAAAAAUCACAGGUUCAGGUUACAGAAAAGAAGGCAGGGAGAAAGGGCAAGUUAAUCUAAAUACUGGGUAAGAGACAAAAAGCUAAAUGAGAUGGAGGAGCAUUCCGUGGUGGGAGUGGGAGGUGUUAGUAAACAGGGGCUGUGGAGCAACAUGGGUCCAGGAGAGUUGGGGAGACAGAAAAGGACAUAUGAAAAGUGUUGCCAGCUGGUAAGUUACAUCCUCAUAACUUCUUCUUAAGACAUAGAAAUUAGAGGCUAAAUUCCUUUUUCAUUACUUUUGACUGAUCUGUAAGUUUGUGAAUAUAAAUCUCUGGAAACUGAGGCACAUGGUCAAGGAGGCACACAGGCUACACGCUGGAGUUUAGGUAACUCUCAGAUCUUCUGAGCCAUCUUCAGAUUAAUCUCAGAUCAAAGAGGUUUAGAAAGGGAGAUGAUCUUCAGGAAUCUCCCUUACAAUACACUCUCAUCAGAUGCAUUUUUCAAAGGACAUUUGCUUUAGCAGAAUUGGAGAGAGAUAAAUCGCAGCCCUGUGCAUUCGAUACUUGAUACAUCCUUCCUCCACUGAGAAGCUAAUGCUCUAGUUCUGGGUUUACCUGAAGCCAUUAGGAGAGCUAAAACUCCAUGUAGUGUGCUCUGCUAAAAGUAAGUGGAUUUCGGAGCUAGAAGAAGAAUUCUCUCUCUCUGUAGUUCAAAUGGCAUUCAGAAAUCCAAUUAACGUUGGUUUUUCUAAAGCAGAAUCUGUAAUUGUGUCCAAUACUGCCAACUGUUCAGUUCGAUAAUAAAACAGGCUAUUCUUAAGAUGGCCUGUAGUCAUUAGGGAAAGUCUAGCUCUGUAGGAUACAAUUUCUCUUUGGAAUAAUAUAUGUGAUGUUUUUAUAAUUUCUUUCAUCCAAGCAUUUCAAAGCAUUUUAAAAUAAUUUGGAGACACAGGAUAUAUAUUUUUCAUAAAUUAAGCUACAUAUGUCAAUACUUUGCCUAGGGACAGAAAUUAAUUAUUCCACAGAAGUGAUGCUGGUAUCUAAUCUUAUUACAUUUAUACUGUAAAAGUAUCAUUAUUAAUAAUUAUGACAGCUAUUAUUUAUUGAAAGCAGAAUGCUUAUCCUGUUAGGCAUUGUGUUAAGUGCUUUGCGUGUAUUAUCUCAUUUAAUCUUCCCAUGAAUCCAAUUCUAAAUCUAAUCCCAUUUCAGUAUGAUUCUAUGAGUAAAGUACUACUUCUAUCCUUUUUUCACAAAUGGUGUCAAUUAGGUUCAAAAAAGUUUAAGUAGCAUGCCCAUUGUCACAUCGCUAGUAAGAAUGGUGGAGCAUCUCUUAUUGGGGAGGACCAGUUAUUAAGAGUUCCGAUGGUCAAUUUCCUUUUCAAAUGUCACUUGUGUGGCAUAUUGUGCAGCCUGUUUGAUCAUGAAGAGAUGGCCUUCUUAAUUCUAGAACCGUGUGGCUAAAAUCUUUGCUAAUUCUUGAAUGUACCAAGGGCUCUACUGUCUCUCAACACCUUGUAAGUAAAGAAAACUUAAGGGUGAUUUUUAAAGUAUGGCAAAGAACAACCUUUCUCAACUGUCAGACAGUUCUCUAGAUCACAACUAUAGCACAUACCAUACCAAAAAUUACAAAAUUUGGAAACAUAAAGUUGUCAUCUUCCUCCUGGGUUAUUGCAGUGUCCUAAUUGUUCUCCUUGCUUCUCAUUUUGCCCCCUUGGAAUAAAACCCAUGGCUAAAUGUUUUAGCCUAGCUUACCAGUAAUCUGAUCUCAUCUUAUGCCACGCUCUUCCUAACCCACUCUAUUCCAGCCACACUCACUCAGCCUUUUCCAGCUCUUCAAACACACCAAGUUCUUCUUGCCUUUAUACAUACUAUCAUCUCCUGUUGAAACUUCAUACUCCUGCUCUUCUCCCAUAUUCCUUCCUCCUAUUUCUUGGCUCUUAAAUGUUAUAAAUGGUGUUCAGUCACAUACACACACACAUUCACAAACACACACCCCACGUCUAAAUUACACCCUGUUUUUCCUUCAUAGCUCUUAUCCAUAUUUACAGUUUUCUGUUGUUUUGAGUACUUUGUCUAAUGAGUGUCUCUUCAAUUGGACUAUAAGAUCCAUGAGGGAAAAUUUCAUAUCUCUUCAUUUACCAUUGUAUUCCCAGUGCCUGAUACACUGCCUGACUAUAUUAGAAGCCAGUGAACUAUUUCAUAAGUUGAGUGACUCUAAGUUUGAUUCCUUAUCAACCACCUAAUUGCUGUGUGACCUUUGGAAAUGCAUAUUCAACUUCUUCUCUGAGUGUCAGUCUUUUCAUCUGUUAAAUGGGGCUCACAAUACCUAUAUUACAGGAUCUACAUGGAGAAGAUGUAUGCUAAUAUAUAUAAAAUGCUUCAAAAAUUGUUAAACCUUGUAGAAUCUCGAACUUUAAAUUCAGUAUCGCCCCAUUGAAGCUAAGGGUGUUUCCGCCAGUUUAGUAGGCUAAACUUGCAGAAGGAGCAGACUUUGGACAGCAUGUGGGCAAUUUUCACAAGGCGUUUAACUGGGCUUCAAGCCCAGGGCACUCAGAGGCUCAGCAAGGAGUGAAAUAGGGCCAGCUCGCCCCCCGAGGGGUCCAUCGGUCCCUUGACUAAGCUGGUAUGCUUAUGUUGUGUAUUUGUGCAUCAUAAACACAGCCAUCUAUCUGGUUUUUUGUCCUCUUUUCUGACUGACUUCUCACUCAAAGCACAAAGAAAAAGAAAGGAAAUGCAAAGUCAUGUGCAUCAACAGAGCCUAUAUCUUUGAGUAUCUUAGUGACUUGGGAUUAUUUUAAGGGAAAAAAUAUGGGAAAGUUCUGCAGGGACCUAACACACAUGGCUGGCUAUCAUCUAUACUCCAAGUAGACAUCGCUUUCUUAACUGUUGUAGUUGUUUGGAAGGAAGGGUGUGUCUGAUGCAGCCUAGAACUUUUCCCAGGGAUUUUGGGGAAAGCUCUCUUCCUUCUUAUUGAUCUGGAUUUGAAAAAGCAAUAAUAUCUAAAACUACGUUAGGGGAAAGGUCAGAAAAGAGAAGUCACCUGAUAGAGAAAGGGUCAAGGUAGACAGAGGUCACCAGUGGAGACUAAGGUCUAAGACAUAUGGUUUCCUUUGACUUUCUUCUCCUCACCAGUGGGUAAAGUGGUGAACUGGAUAUCAGCAUUCUUGGAAACUCCUGGAAGUUUUCUAAUUCUCUACAGAACCAUGAAGUGAACAGGGCACUUCAAAGAAUACUUGAUCCAUAGCCCUUGCUUUUUCAUAGGUUAGUCUCUGAAACAAAUGAGAAAGUAAUUCACAUUAUAAGUGGUAUUCCAAAAACAACAGCCAUUUGGGAUUCUUAUCUGGUAUUGAGGGGUAGACAGGAUUUUUCCAAGCUUGAAUAAAAGUCCCAGGAUCUGCUAGACACGGGGAAUUUACCCUCUCUUCUUCACCCAUGUGAAAUCUCACUCCACGACCAUUCCCUGACCUAGGCCCCAUCAUCUCCUGCUUGGGCCACUUCAAGAGACUCCUAAGCAACUUUUCGCUUCUGGUCUGGUGCCUGCUCCACUUCACCCCCAAUCCAUUCACACUUUACCCAGAGUGAUCUUUCUGAAACAAAUCUAAUCAUACAAACCCUGCUUGAAUGUCUUCCAUCAUUCUCCACGGUUGUGGAGGUAAAGUCCACACUGUAACAUGGCCUAUGAGGCCUUCCUACCUCACCAGCAUCAUCUCGUAUAAUUCUUCCCAUAUCUCACCAUCCACCUCGGCCCACCUCUUAUUAUUCAGGCAUGCUGUUCUUAAGGCAGGUCCUGAACAGGCUGUGCUCUCUUGGGACUCUAGGUCUUUACAUAUCUGUGAAUUAUAAAGUUCACCUUCUCACUACUAUUAUUCAAAACAUUUUCUUGGAGCUCUUUCAUUGCGCUUAACAUUGUACUUGGCAGUAGAACAGACAGACAGGUAAACAAGUAGUUACAGUUCAGAUAUUACAGAGGACAAAAUGUAUAAAUGUGAUAGAAGCCAGAGAAAGGGGCAACUAAUUUGGUCAGGGCGGAGCAAAGGAAAGCUUCACAAGAAGAGAAGACCAAUCACAUUAGCUCAUGUUUAGUGAACAUUUACUUAGCUCUGAGCUAAAGUGUUUUACAAAUGUUAUCUUAUCAAAUUAUCAAAAUAACUCUAGGAAAUGGAUACUGUCAGGAGAGAGGAGAGCAUAACAGUUAAGCACAUGAGUUAGGCCUCAGCUUAAACCCUGUCUCUACCACUUAGAAGAUUUCUAGCCUUGAGCAAGUUGUUUAACUCCCAAGGCAUUUUUGUCAACUUCAAAAUGGAGAUAGAUAAUAGUUUUUUUAAAAAAAUUAGUUCUGGCUGGGCGCGGUGGCUCACGCCUGUAAUCCCA